rnacentral:tRNA from 1 species
GUAUUGGUGGUUCAGUAGGAAAAUCCUCGCCUUCCAUGCGGCAGACCUGGGUUUGAUUCCUGGCCAAUGUA